GAAAUGCGAUAAGUAGUGUGAACUGCAGAAUUCAGUGAAUCAUCGAAUCUUUGAACGCACAUUGCGCCCCUUGGUAUUCCAUGGGGCAUGCCUGUUCGAGCGUCAUUUGUACCCUCAAGCUCUGCUUGGUGUUGGGUGUUUGUCCCCGUCUCCGCGCGUGGACUCGCCCCAAAGUGAUUGGCAGCCGGCGUACUGGUCCCGGAGCGCAGCACAUGUCGCACAAACGAGUGCCUUGGUACGGCGGCGUCCAUAAGCCCCUCUCUCACGCUCUUGACCUCGGAUCAGGUAGGGAUACCCGCUGAACUUAAGC
rnacentral:misc_RNA from 1 species